CAAGGCUGACAUUCUCCUGACUGAGCUUCUGUACACUGUUGAAGAGUUUGACGCCAGUCUUCUGGCCAGCUUCCCCCUGCUGCAGGCCCUGAAAACCAGAAUUAGUAACCUGCCCAAUGUGAAGAAGUUUCUGCAGCCUGGCAGCCAGAGAAAGCCUCCUACUACUGCUAAAAUGAUAGAAGAAGCAAGAAAGCUUGUAAAGCCUUAAUACAGGUCAUAUUGACCAAGCGCAUGCAUGUCGAACUUCCAAAUUUUACAAUAAUAAAAUUCUUUGUGUAAAUAUUGA